rnacentral:lncRNA from 1 species
AAGAUGAUAGAAGUGAAGAGGGUUGGGGAGUGGGUGGGAAGAAAGAAAACAGAGACAGGAAGUUGAAACUUCAGGGAAAUAUGUAUAGGAAGGGAAUGGUAGCUGGAGGAAGAAAUAGGAAGGGAAGUUUUUGUCAAUUUAUUUAUUUUGAGGUGGGAAACAUGAGCACCUUUAACUAUUAAAGCUUCCUGUAAAGAAGCCGAAAAUACUGGAGUGAAGAAUCAGCAUUUCUGGAGCUGCCAAAAGAAGUGAGGCAUAACCAUUGGUGGAGGAACUGGCCAUUCUAGAAGGAAAACAUCCUGCACCGCCUAUGUCAGAAAAGGACCUGAAUCAUCCCAGGUUCAAGGAGACUUACAGGUGUCUGUGUGGAGAAGUUAAGGCAAACACGUUAAAGACCCCAAGUCAGCCGAAUUAAAGCUUCAGGAACAUAAGAACUUCUGUUGCAUGAAUGAAAGAAUGAAUGAAUAAUCAUCUUUCCAUUUCAUCCAGCCAAACGGGAAACUUCUCCAGAGAAACAACAGUUAAAAAAAAAAAAAAAAAGAAAAGCUUA